GUCUUUGCGCAGCGGCGAUAUUGUAACCAAUGAGGUCUAUCCGAGGUGCAAUUAUUGCUAGUUGAAAACUUAUACCAAUACCCCGCUGGGAGAACUUGUAACAUAGUCCACCUGGCAAUUUUUGAAAGCCCCUACGGAGG
rnacentral:snRNA from 1 species